rnacentral:sRNA from 1 species
UUUUUUUUCCUUUUUUG